rnacentral:rRNA from 1 species
UACGUAGGUGGCAAGCGUUGUCCGGAAUUACUGGGUGUAAAGGGCGUGUAGGCGGAGCUGCAAGUCAGAUGUGAAAUCUCCGGGCUUAACCCGGAAACUGCAUUUGAAACUGUAGCCCUUGAGUAUCGGAAAGGCAAGCGGAAUUCCUAGUGUAGCGGUGAAAUGCGUAGAUAUUAGGAGGAACACCAGUGGCGAAGGCGGCUUGCUGGACGACAACUGACGCUGAGGCGCGAAAGCGUGGGGAGCAAACAGG